CCAAAGGCAGCCACUCAACCGACUGAACAACCCAGUCACCCCCAAAUAUUUUUUAGUAUCUUCUUUUCAGUACUUCAAGGGGAACCAAACAUCUUCACCAGGACUCUCAAAGAUGAAUGAAAAACCAGUAAUAAUUUGCUACAAAAAUAACAAACAUCUAUUUUUUGUACUGCAUCUAAACAAACAGGUUCAGAGGAUUGAAGAGGGAGAUCCAAGGAGCUAGCCUCUUAAAAGGAGUGAAUACCUAGUCACUGCAUUUCUCCAUUUGAACUGGCCACCUUUUAAGUGGUCAUUAGCCACAUGUGGCUGCUAGCCAUGGGACUUGGGCAGCAGAGGUGUGGAAAGUCCGCACAUUCUUCCACUCAAAGGAUAUUAAAAAUUUCCAGUUCUUAGUAUAACUGCCAACUGGCCCAGGGGUGGACAAGUGAGUCAGAUGAGACCAAAAUGAAAAUUCUGUUGAGACACUGGGCCUUGAGGAUUCAAGCCAAGGACGAAAAAGUGUUGGUACUCCAUUAUUCUGAUGGUCCAUUAAUUUUUGCUUUUUUGGUUCCUGUGUCUAUCACAGUCCCUGCCUUUUUGAAGAUAAUGACCACUCAUCUGAGUACACAGUUCGCAGAAUGCCUUUGCAGUGGCCCAUGUGAGCCAAGGUAGUAGAGCAUAAUAGAUCUCUAGAAGGCCACUAGAAACAGCAGGUGAUGGCCCCAGCUCCUGUCCCUUCAUGCAGAACAUCUGUCAACACCUAUGGACAUCUUUUCUUCCCCAUUCCUAUGAAUGUUGCUCAGUUGUUACAUGGCGUGGACAAAUGCUGCUGGCCGGUGGCAUGGACACACUGGACAAGCUUGGCCUUUGGUAAAACAAAGACUAGAUUCAAUUCCUCAAACUGAAACGGGAAUGCUUGGAUGAACAAGCCUGCCAGGAAGUCCCAUUGGAGGUACUCAACCUGUGCCCCUUCCCUCUUUGGACCAAGAGCCUGAACCUGAGAGAUGAAAGGCUUAUCCAAGGUUAUGGCAAGGUUAUGCAGAGCUGAAACUAGACACAGGUGUACAUGCUUAUUGGUUAAGGCUGGCUGUGAAGUUGAACUGCCUCAAAUCUUGAUUCUCUUCACCACUUCUUAUUCUCUGACCCUGUUUUUCAUAGUUUAGGACGUAGGGAUAAUAACAAUAUCAGCUAAUGGGGUAUCCUGACUUUUUGAUAUUUUGGUUCUUGUCAGACAUUUACC